rnacentral:siRNA from 1 species
UUCGUAAUUUCUUCUUCUAAGCCU